rnacentral:tRNA from 1 species
AGCUUUAUAGUCAAUAUAUGACAUUAGACUGCAAUUCUAAAAGAGUAUAAUUAUUUAUACUAAGGCUU